rnacentral:lncRNA from 1 species
UGGAGAGGAGAUGGUCAGUACAGUUGAGGAAAUCUUAAUACUGUAGUUAACCUAUUUAUGGUUAGCUCGCCCCAAAUGCAUUUUUAAAAUCACUGGUGUGCCCAAGCAUGGUGGCUCACGCUGCUAGUUGCACACCUUGGGAGGCCAAAGCAGGUGGAUCCCUUGAGGCCAGUAGUUCAAGACCAGCCCUGGCCUUUAUUUUAUUUUAGACUUAUUUCUAAAAUAAAAUAAAGUCACUGGUGAUAGAUUCAUGAUAAAUGGUGUAAACAAAAACUAAAAUCCCCUUUAUCUUUUUUCUCCUCCCUUUUCUCUAUUUGCUUUCUCUUGCUAGACAACAGACAUAGUCACUGUCUCUGUUCUCCUGUCCAGCUAAUAAUGACAUACAGAUCUUGAUGGCAGUAUUGUCUGGUUCUGAAAUAGCCCCUUUGCUGGGGGAACAUUACUAUACAAGUUUAUUAAAAAUGUACUAGGGGUAUUGGCUAAUGCAGAGGUGUCAUUAGGCUCUGGGGUUUAGUGCUUUGGACAUCUUGUAGAUGUGCUGGCUACAGUCUACCGCUGUCUUCAGUUGGCUCCUGAAACUGAAAUGAUGAAGAUGUGCUAGUGUCAUCAUGGCUUAUUUCCCCUUUCCAGGAGAAAGCAGCUGGAUGAAUUUAAGUGGAAGCCGACUUGAACUUCCGCUACCAGCCAGUGGCCCCAGCUCACAUUGUGUCUGGAACUGGUGAGUUCUUGGUCUCGCUGACUUCAAGAAUGAAGCUGCAGACCCUCACGAAAGUAUCUGAAGUGAAAAGAAUGGUACUGAGAUAUUGCCUGUUUCCAGCACCGCUUCAGAAUGAUCCAGAACAAUGUCUUCUCAUAGAAAUGGAAUGGGAACCACAUAUGCCACUUUACAUUUCCUAGUAAGUAAAAGAAACAGGUGAAAUUAAUUCUAAUAAUAAAUUUUAUUUAACACAGUAUUCAAAAAUAUU